AUUAAACGCUGGCGGCAUGCCUUACACAUGCAAGUCGAACGGCAGCACGGGGGCAACCCUGGUGGCGAGUGGCGAACGGGUGAGUAAAGCAUCGGAACGUGCCCUGGAGUGGGGGGAUAACGUAGCGAAAGUUACGCUAAUACCGCAUAUUCUGUGAGCAGGAAAGCAGGGGAUCGCAAGACCUUGCGCUCUGGGAGCGGCCGAUGUCGGAUUAGCUAGUUGGUGGGGUAAAGGCCUACCAAGGCGACGAUCCGUAGCGGGUCUGAGAGGAUGAUCCGCCACACUGGGACUGAGACACGGCCCAGACUCUUACGGGAGGCAGCAGUGGGGAAUUUUGGACAAUGGGCGAAAGCCUGAUCCAGCCAUGCCGCGUGAGUGAAGAAGGCC
rnacentral:rRNA from 1 species